rnacentral:rRNA from 1 species
AGUGAACGCUGGCGGUAGGCCUAACACAUGCAAGUCGAACGGCAGCACAGUAAGAGCUUGCUCUUACGGGUGGCGAGUGGCGGGCGGGUGAGGAAUACAUCGGAAUCUACUUUUUCGUGGGGGAUAACGUAGGGAAACUUACGCUAAUACCGCAUACGACCUACGGGUGAAAGCAGGGGAUCUUCGGACCUUGCGCGAUUGAACGAGCCGAUGUCGGAUUAGCUAGUUGGCGGGGUAAAGGCCCACCAAGGCGACGAUCCGUAGCUGGUCUGAGAGGAUGAUCAGCCACACUGGAACUGAGACACGGUCCAGACUCCUACGGGAGGCAGCAGUGGGGAAUAUUGGACAAAGGGCGCAAGCCUGAUCCAGCCAUACCGCGUGGGUGAAGAAGGCCUUCGGGUUGUAAAGCCCUUUUGUUGGGAAAGAAAAGCAGCAGGUUAAUACCCCGCUGUUCUGACGGUACCCAAAGAAUAAGCACCGGCUAACUUCGUG